UUUAAGUAGAAGUCGUAACAAGGUCUCCGUUGGUGAACCAGCGGAGGGAUCAUUACCGAGUUUACAACUCCCAAACCCAAUGUGAACGUUACCAAACUGUUGCCUCGGCGGGGUCACGCCCCGGGUGCGUCGCAGCCCCGGAACCAGGCGCCCGCCGGAGGAACCAACCAAACUCUUUCUGUAGUCCCCUCGCGGACGUAUUUCUUACAGCUCUGAGCAAAAAUUCAAAAUGAAUCAAAACUUUCAACAACGGAUCUCUUGGUUCUGGCAUCGAUGAAGAACGCAGCGAAAUGCGAUAAGUAAUGUGAAUUGCAGAAUUCAGUGAAUCAUCGAAUCUUUGAACGCACAUUGCGCCCGCCAGUAUUCUGGCGGGCAUGCCUGUCCGAGCGUCAUUUCAACCCUCGAACCCCUCCGGGGGAUCGGCGUUGGGGAUCGGGACCCCUCACACGGGUGCCGGCCCCGAAAUACAGUGGCGGUCUCGCCGCAGCCUCUCCUGCGCAGUAGUUUGCACAACUCGCACCGGGAGCGCGGCGCGUCCACGUCCGUAAAACACCCAACUUUCUGAAAUGUUGACCUCGGAUCAGGUAGGAAUACCCGCUGAACUUAAGCAUAUCAAUAAGCGGAG
rnacentral:rRNA from 1 species